GCGUACAAGUACCGUGAGGGAAAGAUGCAAAGUCGCGCGAAAGCGCUGUCAAAGAGUACCUGAAAUUGCUGAAAGGGAAGCGAAGGAAACCAGUGUGAGGACCGUUGCAUCUUUGCAGCUGUCUGUUGUGACACGUCCAUACUUCCCUGGCCAUUAUUCCAUAGUGGCUUGGGCGCUGUGUUCGGUCACGGUCGUGAUUGGUUGGGACGAUCGGAAAAGGCUGCAAGGAGCAUCUUUCGUGGACUUGCAGUGAUCCCUAGUUGGAAGCGAUCGUCUACCGACCGAUGCACGACGAAAUGGUUUUGUUUGUCCCGUCUUGAAACACGGACCAAGGAGUCUAACAUAUGUGCGAGUAUAGGAGUGUUAAACUCCCAUGCGUAAUGAAAGUGACAGUGGUUGGACCUUUGUGGCACAAUCCGCCGGCCUCAAUCC
rnacentral:rRNA from 1 species